rnacentral:rRNA from 1 species
ACGGUGGGAAUGACGUCAAGUCAUCAUGGCCCUUACGUCUAGGGCUACAAACGUACUCCAAUGGCGGUGUCAGUGGGCAGCGACCUCGCGAGAGGAAGCUAAUCCCCAAAAGCCGUCUCAGUUCGUGAUUGUUCUCUGCAACUCGAGAGCAUGAAGUCGGAAUCGCUAGUAAUCGUGGAUCAGCAUGCCACGGUGAAUACGUUCCCGGGUCUUGUACACACCGCCCGUCACACCAUGGGAGUUGGUUUUACCUGAAGNCCUUGUNCUAACUUCGGAGGCAGCGGACCCCGGUAGGGUCAGCGACUGGGGNGAAGUCGUACCAAGGUAACCGUAA